CGGCGCCUGGACGACGGCGCGUUCUCGCUGCUCUUCGGCGGCGGCGCGGCGGGCUUCGCGGCGCUCGCCGCGUCGAGCGCGGUC
rnacentral:tRNA from 1 species